AACACCAUCAGGAGUCCUUCCUAUCUCCAAUAAUAUCACCAAACAUCGAGAAUCUCUUCCAAGGUCGUGAUACCAAACGCGUUGUAUCUCACCAUCUAUUCGAGGAAGAACAUGUCGUUCUUGAGGGUCUUCAUCUCGGUUGCAUCGUCUUGAAGGUUGUGACAAUCGCAAUGUCUCAUCCGGUAAGUCAGCAAACGAAGGUUCUUGAGUUGAAUCCG
rnacentral:lncRNA from 1 species